rnacentral:rRNA from 1 species
CGCGUAGGCUGUUCGGCAAGUCCGGUGUGAAAUCCCACGGCUCAACCGUGGAACUGCAUCGGAAACUGCCGGGCUUGAGUGCGGGAGAGGUGAGUGGAAUUCCCAGUGUAGAGGUGAAAUUCGUAGAUAUUGGGAGGAACACCAGUGGCGAAGGCGGCUCACUGGACCGCAACUGACGCUGAGGCGCGAAAGCUAGGGGAGCGAACG